AUGAAUUUUCUCAUUAUUCGUUAUUUCCGGGUCUUUUCAUUGCAUUCACUUACAACAAGAAACAACCACCAGCGUUUGGUGCAGCACUUGCAUUUUGGUGCAUUCUUGUUCCUUUCCUUGGUCUUUAGUUCCGUCAUAUUCCAAAGAACUUAUCUAAUUACAACGUAUAUACCGCUAAUGCACCUUUUUUUUUAUCAAAUCUCAGGGACAUGGUCUAAUCAUGAGGGUAGUAUUUUAUCAUGGUGUUGGAUCCCAUGUUUUUAUGGAUUCCUUUUUUGUUACCGGGGUCGACCCCAAAGCCAUAAUGUCUCAAAACGAAGAGGCUAUAGAGAAACUUUGAUUUUUUUUCCUUUGUCUCGAACUUCGUGA
rnacentral:rRNA from 1 species